UACCCAUUUGAGGAGCUGCCGGUGGGGU
rnacentral:sRNA from 1 species